UGGGGAAUAUUGCACAAUGGACGGAAGUCUGAUGCAGCGACGCCGCGUGGGGGAUGAAGGCUUUCGGGUUGUAAACUCCUUUCAGUACAGAAGAAGCUUUAUUGUGACGGUAUGUGCAGAAGAAGCGCCGGCUAACUACGUGCCAGCAGCCGCGGUAAUACGUAGGGCGCGAGCGUUGUCCGGAAUUAUUGGGCGUAAAGAGCUCGUAGGCGGUUUGUCGCGUCUGCUGUGAAAGACCGGGGCUUAACUCCGGGGCUGCAGUGGGUACGGGCAGGCUGGAGUGCGGUAGGGGUAACCGGAAUUCCUGGUGUAGCGGUGGAAUGCGCAGAUAUCAGGAGGAACACCGAUGGCGAAGGCAGGUUACUGGGCCGUUACUGACGCUGAGGAGCGAAAGCAUGGGGAGCAAACAGG
rnacentral:rRNA from 1 species